GACGAACGCUGGCGGCGUGCUUAACACAUGCAAGUCGAACGGAAAGGCCCUGCUUUUGUGGGGUGCUCGAGUGGCGAACGGGUGAGUAACACGUGAGUAACCUGCCCUUGACUUUGGGAUAACUUCAGGAAACUGGGGCUAAUACCGGAUAGGAGCUCCUGCUGCAUGGUGGGGGUUGGAAAGUUUCGGCGGUUGGGGAUGGACUCGCGGCUUAUCAGCUUGUUGGUGGGGUAGUGGCUUACCAAGGCUUUGACGGGUAGCCGGCAUGAGAGGGUGACCGGCCACAUUGGGACUGAGAUACGCCCCAGACUCCUACGUUAGGCAGCAGUGGGGAAUAUUGCCCAAUGGGCGGAAGCCUGAUGCAGCAACGCCGCGUGCGGGAUGACGGCCUUCGGGUUGUAAACCGCUUUCGCCUGUGACGAAGCGUGAGUGACGGUAAUGGGUAAAGAAGCACCGGCUAACUACGUG
rnacentral:rRNA from 1 species